CCAACCCGGAAAUGCACCCAUUCAUCGAAACUAUUUGAUUGAAAUAAUACAACAAAUAAAUUCGCUCAUGACAAAGCAUUAUAAAAUUUUUCAAGCGUCAUUGUUGGAAUACGUAACUUUCCUAAUGCAGACCAGGGGAAAAACGUAUUGUUAGAGAUCCGAUUAUAAUCGAAAUAAUUCCACUCGGAGCAUCUACUAAUAAACGUGAUAAAUAAAAAAGUGUUUACGAGAGCAAAUCGACAAAUGGGUAAUUACCCGUUGUCGGGAAAAUUGGAGUAAGCCUUUGCCAGUUCGCUUCAAGGUGUUAUAAACAAUGAAUAAAAUUUCAUAUUGGAAUUGAUUCAGUGAUUGCAUUGGAAAUAUUUUAUUACAAAUACUGUGGACAAAAUAAAUAAAAAGUUUGCUGAUAUUACAAUAGACGCAAAUCAAGCAUAAUUCUCCUAUUACAUUUUAAUUUCGUAAUUGUAAAAAAGUUUUGGAAGAGGAGAAUGAUUUUUGCGAAUCCGCGUGCAUUUGCCUAAUUUGUUGACGAGCUUGAAAAUCGAUUCGUCUGGUUGUCUAUUUGUAAAUAAUGGAGGAAUCGCAAAACGUGUGAAAAAUUGCGGGUAUUUUCUUUGCAUUAGCUUGUUUGAGAAAUGAGGGAGUCUUAAUUUAGCGUCGUGCGACUGUCGAAAAUGCUGCGAGGGCAAUUACGUUUGUUUUCGCCGUGAAAAUAGUGUGGCUAGUAUUUAAUUAGUUGGCGCUUUGUCAGCCUGUACAUUCAGAAAUAAUUUUAUGAAUUAAGUGCGUUAGAGCAUAGGCGUGCCGCACUCAUUUCUUGAGGGAAUUGCCAAGUGUGACAACCGGGGCUGAUGUUUAAUUAAAAGUUAAUGUCGGAGACGACAGAAACGGGCCGGAAGCUACGCUCUGGGGACAAUCUAUAAUUCAUCGGAUCAACAUUUUCAAAAGCACCACGACAAAAUCAGGUUCGUUUCGAUAAAAAACAACCAAAGAGAAGCAAGCGAAGAAAAAAAGACACCACGGAAGGCAUCCAAGGAUAAAUGUACCUAAUCUAACAGCGAUGUUAAGGAUUGUAAUAGAACCGCCGCUUGAUAUCUCGACACAUAAAAAGCCGUUCAAAAUAAAAACACAACCACUAGGACUUUACGUGUGUGUCAGUGUCAAGGUUUACCUGUACGCUAACUCGUUAGUUACUCUGUAUUUUUGAAAUAACAUCAUCUGACAUGUCUUCAGCCUCUAUGUCGAAAUCGACGAAACGACUGAGCAACACCGCACUCUAUAAUAACACCUUUUAAAUAGAUUUUUAAUCGCGCGAGCGCUGAAUAAAACAUGAA